UACGAAGGGUGCAAGCGUUACUCGGAAUUACUGGGCGUAAAGGGUGCGUAGGUGGUUGUUUAAGUCUGUUGUGAAAGCCCCGGGCUCAACCUGGGAAUGGCAAUGGAUACUGGACAGCUAGAGUGCGGUAGAGGGUAGUGGAAUUCCCGGUGUAGCAGUGAAAUGCGUAGAGAUGUGGAGGAACACCGAUGGCGAAGGCAGCCCCCUGGGCUAACACUGACGCUCAUGCACGAAAGCGUGGGGAGCAAACAGG
rnacentral:rRNA from 1 species